GCUCGGCCUGUGUGCUGAAGAAUGUGCAGCUCUUCUCACUAGUCAUAUCUCCUCAGCAGAUGACCAAGGUGGAAGCUAGAAGAUCAGGGUUGUCACAUAAUCGGAGUCUCCUUCUCUUACAAUAAUUCCAUAAGGUGGGCUUCACCUUUGUGACCUCAUCUAAACUUAAUCAACUCCCAGAGGUGCCACCUCACAUGGGGGUUAGUGUUUCAACAUAUGAAUUUUGGGGGAAACGCAAACAUUCAGUCAGAUUACAUUCCCUCUGCAUUGUACUGGUGAUUUUGUUGAGCUGCAUCUUUUCCAGUAUUUUGUAUUGUGAAACUUUUGAGUUUUUGCUCAUCUGUUGAUGUAAAAGUGAUACCUUAUCAUUAUUAUGAUUUAUCCAAGUUGUUGUGUUGGCUUUGGUCUCAUUCCUGUUCUUUUGUAGUGUCUGCUCUGUUUUGCUUAUGGGGGAUUUCUAGGUGGUUUCCAACAUGUUAUCACUCAUACUUUACCAUAAAAAUUCAAUAUUUAAAGUACGUUUUGAGGUUUCCAGCUGCUUUUGCAGUUGACUAUAGUCAGUUCCAUAUAGUGUGGCAGCUAAAUGUAGUGUGUGGACCGUUUGUUGUGACCUUCUUUGAAAUUUUCUCUGAUCAUGGCAGCCCAAAAUAUCGGUACCUGCCUCUGAACCAUCUUCGUUGUCUCUGGCUGUGUUACUUAUACAACACUGUGAGUUUUUUCUCAAAGCAAGUUGCUCACAUGUUUUCCUGGUCUCUUCGUAAUUGUAUUCUCAUUAUUUAAGGCUUUGCAUUCAAAAGGUCCUAACUUAACAGCAGCUAUAUAGCAUAUGUAGUCCUUUCCUUUCCCAUCGAAAGGAUUACUCUCAUUUUGUUCUUAUUGCCUUAAUACCUCUUCUGCAAUUUAAAGUGAUAUAAAUUUAACUCACUUUUUAGUACUAUCUUCAAGUCUCCAUAUUCCAUGCUGUGUUUUCCUGAUAGCAGUAAUUUAUUUUCUUCUUUUUUUUGGAAUAUGUCUUCUAUUGCACUCCU
rnacentral:lncRNA from 10 species